UACAGAGGUCUCAAGCGUUGUUCGGAUUCAUUGGGCGUAAAGGGUGCGUAGGCGGCGCGGUAAGUCGGGUGUGAAAUCUUGGAGCUUAACUCCGAAACUGCAUUCGAUACUGCCGUGCUUGAGGACUGGAGAGGAGACUGGAAUUUACGGUGUAGCGGUGAAAUGCGUAGAUAUCGUAAGGAAGACCAGUGGCGAAGGCGGGUC
rnacentral:rRNA from 1 species